AGAGUUUGAUCCUGGCUCAGAUUGAACGCUGGCGGUAUGCUUAACACAUGCAAGUCGAACGGUAACAGCAAAGCUUGCUUUGGCUGACGAGUGGCGGACGGGUGAGUAACGCGUGGGAAUCUACCUAGUAGUGGGGGAUAGAGAAGAAAUUCUGAAUAAUACCGCAUACGCCCUACGGGGGAAAGAGGCCCUCUUCUUGAAAGGUCUCACUAUUAGAUGAGCCCGCGUUAGAUUAGCUUGUUGGUGAGGUAAGAGCUCACCAAGGCAACGAUCUAUAGCUGGUCUGAGAGGAUGAUCAGCCACAUUGGGACUGAGACACGGCCCAGACUCCUACGGGAGGCAGCAGUGGGGAAUAUUGGACAAUGGGCGCAAGCCUGAUCCAGCAAUACCGCGUGUGUGAAGAAGGCCUUAGGGUUGUAAAGCACUUUUAUGAGUGAAGAAUUGAUGACGGUACCGUAAGAAGAAGCACCGGCUAACUACGUGCCAGCAGCCGCGGUAAUACGUAGGGUGCGAGCGUUAAUCGGAAUUACUGGGCGUAAAGCGUGCGCAGGCGGCUUUUUAAGACAGGUGUGAAAUCCCCGGGCUUAACCUGGGAAUGGCGCUUGUGACUGGAAGGCUAGAGUGCGGCAGAGGGGGAUGGAAUUCCUGGUGUAGCAGUGAAAUGCGUAGAUAUCAGGAGGAACACCGAUGGCGAAGGCAGUCCCCUGGGUCGACACUGACGCUCAGGCACGAAAGCGUGGGGAGCAAACAGGAUUAGAUACCCUGGUAGUCCACGCCCUAAACGAUGUCAACUAGUUGUUGGGGAAGGAGACUUCUUUAGUAACGUAGCUAACGCGUGAAGUUGACCGCCUGGGGAGUACGGCCGCAAGGUUAAAACUCAAAGGAAUUGACGGGGACCCGCACAAGCGGUGGAUGAUGUGGAUUAAUUCGAUGCAACGCGAAAAACCUUACCUACCCUUGACAUGCCAGGAACUUGCCAGAGAUGGCUUGGUGCCCGAAAGGGAGCCUGGACACAGGUGCUGCAUGGGUUGUCGUCAGCCUCCGUGUCGUGAGAUUUUGGGUUAAGUCCCGCAACGAGCGCAACCCUUGUCAUUAGUUGCUACAUUUUAGUUGAGCACUCUAAUGAGACUGCCGGUGACAAACCGGAGGAAGGUGGGGAUGACGUCAAGUCCUCAUGGCCCUUAUGGGUAGGGCUUCACACGUCAUACAAUGGCGCGUACAGAGGGUUGCCAACCCGCGAGGGGGAGCCAAUCCCAGAAAGCGCGUCGUAGUCCGGAUUGUUCUCUGCAACUCGAGAGCAUGAAGUCGGAAUCGCUAGUAAUCGCGGAUCAGCAUGUCGCGGUGAAUACGUUCCCGGGUCUUGUACACACCGCCCGUCACACCAUGGGAGUGGGUUCCACCAGAAGCAGGUAGUCUAACCGCAAGGAGGGCGCUUGCCACGGUGUGAUUCAUGACUGGGGUGAAGUCGUAACAAGGUAACC
rnacentral:rRNA from 1 species